ACGUUUCUCUCUAGAGCUGGGCGCUGAGCUGGGGGCUCCUCUUCAGCGGUUCCAUCUCCUGGAGAUUCCAAGUGUCUCUGUAGCAGCCUCUGUCACCCUGUGACCUGCAGAUACUGGGAGAUCUGUAGGGAGGACACCGGGACAUCCUUGAAGCUGGGAAAAUAGUCUUGGUAUCUCUAAGCCAUCACUCAUCACCUCUCUGGAGAAAAGCAAAGAACCCUGGAAAGCAAAGACACAACAGACAGUCAAGCACCCAGUGUAAAAGCAACAAGUUUCUCCCAGGGCUAUGCCCAGGCCUCCUUGCUUCAAGUAUAGAAAAUUCAG